rnacentral:rRNA from 1 species
AUUGAACGCUGGCGGCAGGCCUAACACAUGCAAGUCGAGCGGAGCGGCGGACGGGUGAGUAAUACCUAGGAAUCUGACUGGUAGUGGGGGAUAACGUUCGGAAACGGACGCUAAUAACGCAUACUAUCAGCUGAGCCUAGGUCGGAUUAGCUAGUUGGUGAGGUAAUGGCUCACCAAGGCUACGAUCCGUAACUGGUCGGAGAGGAUGAUCAGAAAAACUGUAACUGAGACACGGUCCAGACUCCAACGUGAGGCAGGAGUGGGGAGUAGUGCACAAUGGGAGAAAGCCUGAUCGAGCCAUGCCGCGUGUCGGAAGAAGGACUUCGGGGUAUAAAGGACUUUUGUUAGGGAAGCGGUACCUAAAGAAUAAGCACCGGCUAACUACGUGCCAACAGCCGCGGUGAUAC